CGAAGUAAUGGCUGAAUUAGGCAAUAAAUUGUAAAUUUAUUUAUGAGAACUUCUCUUACUUC
rnacentral:tRNA from 1 species